rnacentral:hammerhead_ribozyme from 1 species
AUCCAGUUGAUGAGUCCCAAAACGAACGAAAUGCGCGUCCUGCAU